rnacentral:snRNA from 14 species
AUACUUACCUUCUUGGAAUCACCGAGCUCAUGAAUUCGGUUGAUUGUUUGACGAGUCCUCCAUUGCACAGCGGGGUGACGAGACAAGCUCAGUCUUCUUCGGAGGCCUGACUGGGGGAAUUUUUGAUGGACCACAUCCUUCGGGGUACU